AGAGUUUGAUCCUGGCUCACNNCGNANNCGGGCGGCGUGCUUAACACAUGCAAGUCGAACGACAUCAUUGAAAGCUUGCUUUUGAAAGUCGAGUGGCAAACGGGUGAGUAACGCGUAGACAACCUGCCGUAAAGAUGGGGACAACAGUCCGAAAGGACUGCUAAUACCGAAUGUUGUGGAACUUCCGCAUGGGNGCUCCACUAAAGAUGGCCUCUACUUGUAAGCUAUCGCUUUACGAUGGGUCUGCGUCUGAUUAGCUAGUUGGUGGGGUAACGGCUUACCAAGGCGACGAUCAGUAGCCGGUCUGAGAGGAUGAACGGCCACAUUGGAACUGAGACACGGUCCAGACUCCUACUGGAGGCAGCAGUGGGGAAUCUUCCGCAUGGGCGCANGCUUGACGGANCAACGCCGCGUGAGUGAAGAAGGGUUUCUNCNCGUAAAGCUCUGUUUCGUGGACNAAUGUGGAGAUGGUGAAUANCCAUUNCCAUUGAAGGUACUGGACGAGGUAAG
rnacentral:rRNA from 1 species